rnacentral:rRNA from 1 species
UACGGAAGAUGCAAGCGUUAUCCGGAAUUACUGGGCGUAAAGAGUUGCGUAGGUGGCAUUGUAAGCAAAUAGUGAAAGCGUUCGGCUCAACCGGAUACACAUUAUUUGAACUGCAAAGCUAGAGGAUGAGAGAGGUUAUUGGAAUUCCCAGUGUAGGAGUGAAAUCCGUAGAUAUUGGGAGGAACACCGAUGGCGUAGGCAGAUAACUGGCUCAUUCCUGACACUAAGGCACGAAAGCGUGGGGAGCAAACGGG